rnacentral:lncRNA from 1 species
CAAAGAUUUGGAAUAUUUAUGCCAUUGCCCCGAAAAAAUAUUACUAAUCAAGACACACUCAUUCACGAUUCCUUUCUCACUAUUGAGACUUGACAUAUAGAAAAUUGUACAAAUAUGGCAUGUACAUAAUAGAUAUGUGGGUUGUAAUUAAUAUUGCAUGAGAAAAGUUUUAUUUUGGUAUAAUUAUUAGAAGAGUUGAUCUGAGUUGAAAAUUGUGUUUGUGAUUGAAUAACGUUUGGGGGUUAAAGGUUGAGAGUUCAUUGAAGUGAAAUUUUAUUAUUCAUAGAUGGAAUUAGAACCAGUUUAGAAAGGAGACUCUAGAGUAUUUUCGGUAGGAAAAAAUAUCAUGACAUACAUGAUAAUAGUUAAUUGAAAAAAUAAGAGAAGCACCACGAAACGUGACAUCUCCAUUUCAGUUAGUUAAAUAUCCUUAUAGGAGUGUUGCAGUUAGUGGUAUUAGAACUAACGUUUAGGCCGUUCUAGGUAUUAAGGAGAAGGAACAAGUAUAUGCAAAUGUAUAUACCUUAUAAGUUAAGGUCAGGAUAUAACUCUACUAUAGAUUUUUGUAAAUUGGCUAAGAAAUUUAUUUGACAUUCAACAUGUAUUAGAAGAUAGAGGUGAUAGUCUAAAGUCGUGAUCGCGAUAAUCUAUUCAAUGCUGCAAAUGUGUGUAUUGUAAGCUGCAGAUUACAUUAUGGAUAUUGGAGCAUUGAUUGGAAAUUGUGUGCAUCACUUUUAAGAAUCUGCUAGGAUAUGGUAGAUGCCUUAUAUCUGAUGCAGUUGUAUCAUGAAAUGUUUCUAUUUACUAUGAAGUGACUUCUAAUAAAAGUUUAUAUCCUUUUAAAAUAAAAUACUAGAGACAUCAGCAAUAAGGUAUAGAAAAAUUCUAUGAUAGCGACAAUGUACUCGAAAAACGUAUUUGUUUUUUGUGUUGUUUGUAAUUAAAAGGAGGAAUUUUAUAUAUAUAUUAUAAUACAAGAGAAAUGAAAAAAAGGAGAGCCAUGAGUAGGUGAAAAAGGCUAGAACAUGUCAGUGACCAAUCUUCUUGUUCACUUUUUAGUGUAACGAUUGUUUGAUAUCGAAACAUAGUCAUAACCUUCUAAGGAAAUAAAUUUGAAUUAUCAUAAUACAAGAUUGAAGGGUUUUAAAGAAAGAUUAAUUAUCUAAACAUUAUGUAAAAGUGGAUUAAAGAUACAAGAAGAAUACACACAUAAAAUAAGUGAUAGUUAUAAGAUGGUAGGUAUGAUUAAGGGGUUAGUUUAGAUAGUUAUUGUUUAUUAAAAGUUUAGUUGUUAUCUAUAUUGGUGAUAUAGUUAGAUUUUAAACGCUUUAAUCGGUACAAGUAAUUAUUAUUGAUGAGUUAUAUUGAUAUUUGUUUAUAUAUAAAUUUGUGUGUAUAUAUAUAUAUAUACAUGUUUUGAAUAUUGAUAUUUAGUUUCUUAAUAAUAUUGUGCAAAAUAUAGGUAGGAAAAUAUAAUUAUUUAUGUUUCCUUAGUUAUUUACUGGAUUCUAGAUAUAAUAUGGUAAUGUGGUUGAUUAUUAGCAAGAAUUAAUUAUGUUAGUAUAAACUUUAUGUUAUUAUCUAUUGUUAAGAGCUAUGUGGAUAUGAUCCUCUAUUGGAGGUACGUAGGCAGCCUUCGAGUGCGGUCCAAAGAUAAUAAAUGUUAAGACUUUAAUUAGCAAAUAGCAGCGAUGUAAAUUCAAGCCAUAUUAAUAGAUUUUCACAUUGAAUAAGUUAAUGAAAAUUUAAUAAGUUUAAUAUGACUAAAAUAAUUAAUAUACAAAUAAUUAUAAUUAUAAGAUUAUAGAUAAAAAUAAAGCCACAAAGAAAAUAACUAAAUUAGCUAAGAUAUAGGAGAACAACUUUCGUAAAGAAACCGUCAGUGAAUUAGACCCUUAAUAUUGUCAAAACUUGACUAUAACUUAGGAUAUAUAGAAGCAUACAGAAGUACCUAAAAUGAAUAACUUGGAAAGCUUGUCAAAGAAACGGCAAUUGGCAUGCCAAUAGGUGCAAUUUAUGAUAUAAAACAACACUUGAAAGGCAGUGUCACAGUCUAGACAUAUAACGUAAGUUGGCAUUUGAAGUUAUAAGGCAUAGACGAAGUGUCGUAGCUAUCCCAAAUCGUCAUUCACUAGCAGACUAAAUGAAAUUGUUGCUUGAAAAAAAAAAGGAUAAUGGUAUAAAAAAUCCAUAAUUUUAUUUACUGGCACAAUAAAUUAGAUUUAAAAAUCUUUGGCGAUUCUUUCAAAAUUUGAAAUGAAAGUGAGGGAGCAUCUGUCGGUAGCAGGCCAUAUUGUAUUUUUUUAUUACUUGACGGUGAACUCUACGCUACACCUUGGAUAACCAAGGUGAGAUAUUAAUCCUUGGUUAGUUAAGUUAAAAUUCUUAAACGGUGUAGAAAAACCUAAAACGCUCUCAUCGACGCCGUCACUCGCUGUGAAAUUUAAUUUCUCGACUUCGUCCUUCGCACAAAAAAUUAGCCUUCUUGCUUUACCACCAUUUUGGCCUCAUAGAAGGAGAUAUUGCCUUCGUUCUUUCUCCUAACUUUAUUCACCUUUCGAUAUUUUAUUUCUGUAUCUUCUCUCUCCGUGUCGUUACCUCUCCUUAAAAAUCAAUUAUCUUUAAACCUAAGAUUCUCCACCAAAUUCAGCUGUCAAAACCUGUAAUUGUGUUCGUAACGUCGAAUCCUACUCAUAUAAUUCUUAAUCUCAAAACAAUCGUACUCGACUCUCCCGAGUUUGAAUCGCUGAUGAUGAGUCUAGCUUACUGUGGAGAAAUGGAAGGAGGAGAGGUUUACCAAUUGGACCCUGCGAUGAUUCUCUAUCCUCACGGACUACUGAUCGAGUUAAUGGAGUGGUUUUGACUCAUUGAAAUUUCACAUGUAUGGUGGCUGUAAGUCAUGAGGUUUACACGACCUGGAUGGCAGAUGUAACUUCCUUUUUUUCGUUGCCUUAUUUUCAUGUUUAUGGUUUAUGUUAUUUCGUGAGGGCUUUACCUAUGGGAGCGGCGGUGGUGUCCAUGGGUAAAUUUGAUAUGAAGACAAUGUUGACUGUAAUUAAGGAGUGUAAGAUCACUCACGUAGCACAGACUGCACCGGCGGUGGUACUGAUGACUAAGGAUCCUAGGUUAUUAGACGACUAUGAUUUGAGCUCUCUAGAUGUUGUAGACUGCAGCGUUGCUUCGCAUAGGACAGGCGUAGUUGAACUGCUCCGGCAACAAUUUCCAAAUUUGACUUUAAGUAAGGUUAGUUAAACACCAAACUUGAAUUUUUACCAUUAACCGGUAGUUAAUUUCUCACAUUGGUUAUUCAAUGUGUAGCGCAUGAUCCACCAUUGAGUAAUAAAAAAAUACAUAAGGAAUGCCACGUUAGCAGCCGACAAAUGCUCCCCCAUUUACAUUUCAAAUUUGAAUUGAAUCGCUAAAUGUUUUUAAAUUCUAAGUUAUUAUAGCAAUUAAAUCUUUUUAAUUAAAAUGCAAAAAUCCUUAAAGUUUUAAAUUUUUUAUGCCAUUAUCUAAAAGUAUAUUAAUAAAUAAUGUGGUCACUCAAUCCAUUAUUCCUUUCUCAUUGUUGACACUUGGUACCUAUGAAGUGUUGAUUUGAGUUGAAAAUUGUGUUUGUGGUUGAAGGAAGUUUAGGAAAGUUAAGAUUGAGAGUUCACUGAAUUGAAAUUUUAUCAUUGAUAGAUGGAAUGAGGACCAAUAUAUAGAGGAGACUCUGCUGAAUUUUCGAGAGGAAAAAACUUUUGGAUUAAAAUUUAAAAGCCUCAAAGAUUUGAAAUAUUUAUGCCAUUGCCCCUAAAAAAAUUACUAAACUAGACACACUCAUUUGUGAUUCCUUUCUCACUAUUAACACUUGAUAUAAUGAAAGUUGUACAAAUAUGGCAUGUACAUAAUAGAUAUGUGGGUUGUAAUUAAUAUUGCAUGAGAAGAAUUUUAUAUUGGUAUAAUUAUUAGAAGCGUUGAUCUGAGUUGAAAAUUGUGUUUGUGAUUGAAUGAAGUUUGGGGGUUAAAGGUUGAGAGUUCAUUGAAGUGAAAUUUUAUUAUUCAUAGAUGGAAUUAGAACCAGUUUAGGAUGGAGGCUCUAGAGUAUUUUUGGUAGGAAAAAAUGUCAUGAAAUACAUGACAACUAUUAAUUGCAAAAAAUAAGAGAAGCACCACGGAACGUGACAUCUCCAUUUCGGUUAGUUAAAUAACCUUAUAGGGGUGUUGCAGUUAGUGGUAUUAGAGCUAACGUUUAGGCCGUUCUAGGUAUUUAGGAGAAGGAACAAGUAUA